rnacentral:lncRNA from 1 species
GGAACUUUUUUAUCAUGCGACUUUGAAAUUGCAUUAAAAGUUCAGGAAGUAGAAAUUAGAGUACAAAUUAAAAUAAAGAAAUCAAGCCUGCACACAAUUAGCUCAACUUACAGCUUAGCUUAAUAGAACAGAAUCCUAAUCUAAAAGUACAGCCCAAACCCAAACGAAAAUAUUCGAUAGCCUUGAAUUCCAUCCGGUUGACUGAUUGAUACUGUCCGACCAAUACCGACAACCAACCAACGCUGCCACACAUACAUCUCGCCGAAGACAGGAGCAGACUAACCCAUAAUUCAGAGAUCACGCGAUAAUCGAGAAUCAUCGCUAACCCUUUCAGACAUGCAAAUUAACGAACAAAGAAGUCAACCAAAACCUAGAAAAAUAGAGACAAUCAAAGAUGGGAGGGUAAAUCAGCAAAACCGGUUAUACACAAAUGGUACGAAAGGCUGUUAAAACCGUUAGUCACAUACAUUAACUAAAGGCUUCAAAAAUUCAUUAUCAAAUACUUGAAGAGAGACAAUGGCCGUG